CUACGGGGCGCAGCAGUGGGGAAUAUUGGACAAUGGGGGAAACCCUGAUCCAGCAAUGCCGCGUGUGUGAAGAAGGCCUGCGGGUUGUAAAGCACUUUCGGUUGGGAGGACUGCUUCUAGCACUAAUAUUGUUGGAAGUUGACGUUACCUUCAGAAGAAGCACCGGCUAACUCCGUGUCAGCAGCCGCGGUAAUACGGAGGGUGCAAGCGUUAAUCGGAAUUACUGGGCGUAAAGCGCGCGUAGGCGGCUAGAUCAGUCGGGUGUGAAAGCCCCGGGCUUAACCUGGGAACUGCAUCCGAUACUGUCUAGCUUGAGUACAGGAGAGGAGAGUGGAAUUCCACAUGUAGCGGUGAAAUGCGUAGAUAUGUGGAGGAACACCAAUGGCGAAGGCAGCUCUCUGGCCUGAUACUGACGCUGAGAUGCGAAAGCGUGGGGAGCAAACAGGAUUAGAUACCCUUGUAGUC
rnacentral:rRNA from 1 species